rfam:Glarea lozoyensis ATCC 20868 chromosome Tnknown GLAREA2, whole genome shotgun sequence.
UUCUUUUUUACCACAACAGAUUUGUGCCCAGUGUCCCUUCAACUUCACGGUUGUAAGGUCGCAUACUGAGGCAGUUCGAUGUCAUAUGGAGCCGCCAACCUUCACUGGUAAUUCAUGGUGUCAAUCAUCCGAUCGACAAAUCUCAGAAUGAUCGGUCCUUACGAAGCCUUGAGUUCGCUGUAAAAGGUUGAGCUCGGUGGACGAGUGUACUGAAGGUGUCAUAUUCCUAAACCCCUUCGCCGAGGCCGUCGGUCUGUGAUGCAGGGGAAAACCAUGACCUACCUACAUAA